rfam:Danio rerio unplaced genomic contig NA5, GRCz11 reference primary assembly.
GCAUUGGUGGUUCAGUGGUAGAAUUCUCGCCUCCCACGCGCGAGUCCUGUGUCCGAUUUCUGGCCAAUGCA